rnacentral:misc_RNA from 1 species
CCCUCCCCUAAAUCACUCCAAAAAAAACAAUCCCCAAUUCUACACAAGUGUUUCUACACUAACAAAGCAACAGCUCCUUAACGAAUUCCCAACUUUACACGAGCUCGUCUCUCGAGGUUAAAUGUUAUUACUUGGUAAGAUUCCGGACCUCGCCAAGUGUUUUGAAAACCCGCAACGCUCGCAAAGGUGCAUAGUGAGAAUAAUAAGUGAAGAGACAGACUUGUCCAAAACGCCCACCACGAAGGUGCAUAGUGAGAAGAGUAAGUCAAGAGAUAGACUUGUCCAAAAAGAAACGGAAGAGAAAGCUUGGGGAGACGCUCACGAAGGUGCAUAGUGAGAAGAGUAAGUCAAGAGAUAGACUUGUUCAAAAAGAAACAGAAGAGAAUGCUUGGGGUUACACUCACGAAGGUGCAUAGUGAGAAGAGUAAGUCAAGAGACAGACUUGUUCAAAAAGAAACGAAAGAGAAUGCUUGGGGAGAUAGAAGUGUGAGAUAGUUCUCAAGCUAAGAAAGUUGUAAAAGCUAAGAACUAGCAAGUAAUCGUCCAGGAUUCCUCCACCAGGACUUGAAAUCGUCGAGGGAAAAAAAUCGGUUCCGAGGAAUCGUCGAUCCGGACUUGGAAUCGUCGAGAAAAGUUUACCGGGUCCGAGGAUUUGUCGACCAGGAGUGGAAAUCGUCGAGAAAAAUCUAUCGGGUCCGAGGAAUCGUCGACCAGGACGAGGAAUCGUCGACCGGGUCCGAGGAUUUGUCGACCAGGGGUUGAAAUCGUCGACCAGGUCCGAGACUUCAUCGACCGGGUCCGAGGAUUCGUCGAC